rnacentral:rRNA from 1 species
CUAAGCAUAUCAAUAAGCGGAGGAAAAGAAACUAACAAGGAUUCCCCUAGUAACUGCGAGUGAAGCGGGAAAAGCUCAAAUUUAAAAUCUGGUGGCCUUUGUCCAUCCGAGUUGUAAUUUAGAGAAGCGUCUUCCGCGCUGGACCGUGCACAAGUCUCCUGGAAUGGAGCGUCAUAGAGGGUGAGAAUCCCGUCUUUGGCACGGACGCACCAGGGCUUUUGUGAUGCGCUCUCGAAGAGUCGAGUUGUUUGGGAAUGCAGCUCAAAAUGGGUGGUGAACUCCAUCUAAAGCUAAAUAUUGGCGAGAGACCGAUAGCGAACAAGUACCGUGAGGGAAAGAUGAAAAGCACUUUGGAAAGAGAGUGAAACAGUACGUGAAAUUGUUGAAAGGGAAACGCUUGAAGUCAGUCGCGUCGCCCGAGACUCAACCUUGCCUCGGCUUGGUGUACUUCUCGGCUGACGGGUCAGCAUCAAUUUUGCCCCUUGGAUAAUGGCGAGGGAAAUGUGACACCUUUAUAGGUGUGUUAUAGUCUCUAGUCGCAUGCAAGGGUCGGGAUUGAGGAACUCAGCACGCGCCUUUUGGGCGUCGGGGUGUUUCGCCCACGAUACGUGCUUAGGAUGUUGGCGUAAUGGCUUUAAACGACCCGUCUUGAAACACGGACCAAGGAGUCUAACAUGCCCGCGAGUGUUCGGGUGGAAAACCCGUGCGCGCAAUGAAAGUGAAAGUUGGGACCUCUGUCGUGGAGGGCACCAACGCCCGGACCAGACCUUCUGUGACGGAUCUGCGGUAGAGCGUGUAUGUUAGGACCCGAAAGAUGGUGAACUAUGCCUGAAUAGGGUGAAGCCAGAGGAAACUCUGGUGGAGGCUCGUAGCGAUUCUGACGUGCAAAUCGAUCGUCAAAUUUGGGUAUAGGGGCGAAAGACUAAUCGAACCAUCUAGUAGCUGGUUCCUGGCGAGU